UACGUAGGGGGCAAGCGUUAUCCGGAUUUACUGGGUGUAAAGGGAGCGUAGGCGGCAAGGCAAGUCUGAUGUGAAAACCCGGGGCUCAACCCCGGGACUGCAUUGGAAACUGCUUAGCUAGAGUGUCGGAGAGGUAAGUGGAAUUCCUAGUGUAGCGGUGAAAUGCGUAGAUAUUAGGAGGAACACCAGUGGCGAAGGCGACUUACUGGACGAUAACUGACGCUGAGGCUCGAAAGCGUGGGGAGCAAACAGG
rnacentral:rRNA from 2 species